rnacentral:lncRNA from 1 species
AAGAAAUUCAAGUUGGAGGAAGUAGAACUUUUUAUUAGGCAGCAAAAUCAUGCAAGCACACCAUCAACAAUGAUGAAGAUCAUGAACUUCAGCGAAAAUAAAGAUGUGCCCUACCACCACUACUGCUUGAGGGGACAUACUGACUUACUGCCACUUACUUGAGGGGACUCCUGCUUUGAUUUGGAAAGUGGAGGAAGAUGGCAGGAAGAUCCUCAGCUUUAAACAACAACUGGUUGAAAAACGGGAUCCUAGUGAAGUGGCAUCUUCUCAGCCUACAUAAGGGUAAGGAGAGGGGAGCCCCAACACAGAAGUCAGAGUGACCAUGCUGCUUUGUUAGGAUCCAUGUUUAUCCCCAGGAUGGACAUUUAUCACAAAGGCAUAUGGAAGAGUUCAAGGUAGAGCUGCCUGCCUGUCUGAUCGUCAAUUUGUGCCUUCUACUGCUGUGAGAAUUGCUAUCAACCUUAUCUGAAGACUAUCAUCACUCUGGGGCUGCAAGAACUGACUGCAAGGCUGAAGGUGCUGAAGCUGGACUGUUNGGGGUGGGGUCAGGCAGACAUUUAAGCAGCAGAGGGACCAAGACAGCAGCAUAAGGGAA